rnacentral:rRNA from 1 species
GAUGAACGCUGGCGGCGUGCCUAAUACAUGCAAGUCGAGCGAACAGACGAGGAGCUUGCUCCUUCGACGUUAGCGGCGGACGGGUGAGUAACACGUAGGUAACCUACCUAUAAGACUGGGAUAACUUCGGGAAACCGGAGCUAAUACCGGAUAAUAUUUCGAACCGCAUGGUUCGAUAGUGAAAGAUGGCUUUGCUGUCACUUAUAGAUGGACCUGCGCCGUAUUAGCUAGUUGGUAAGGUAACGGCUUACCAAGGCAACGAUACGUAGCCGACCUGAGAGGGUGAUCGGCCACACUGGAACUGAGACACGGUCCAGACUCCUACGGGAGGCAGCAGUAGGGAAUCUUCCGCAAUGGGCGAAAGCCUGACGGAGCAACGCCGCGUGAGUGAUGAAGGUCUUCGGAUCGUAAAACUCUGUUAUUAGGGAAGAACAAACGUGUAAGUAACUGUGCACGUCUUGACGGUACCUAAUCAGAAAGCCACGGCUAACUACGUG